CAACAAUUUGGUUAUGAUGAGCCUAGGUGUGGUUUGCUUUGUGUGUGUGUGUGUGUGUGUGUGUGUGUAUGCAUGCCUGUGCUAAGCUGAAUUUCUCAUAUAUGUAAGUGCAUACUCUUCAUCAAAUUUGGAAAAUAUUUGGCCAUUAUUUUUCCAAAUAAUCUUCUGCACUCUCUUCCCCUUUCUGGAAAUAUGAUUAUACAUUUGCUUUAUCUCUUAGUAUUGUGAAACAGAUUAUUGAUGUUUUGCUCUUUUCAAUCUUUUUUUUUUCUGUGCUUUGGUUUAUGUAGUUUCUACAGCAUCUUCAAGUUCAAUGGUACUUUCUUCUGAAGUGUUUAAUAUGCUCCUAAGGCUAUCCAGUGAACAUAGUUCCAUUUAGUUCAUUUUCAGAGAUCUAAUCUCUUCUCAUUAUGCAUAUGUUUUUCUUUAGAUUAUUGAAUAUAUUUAUAAUAACUCUUUCAAAAUAUUUGUACAUUAAUUCCAUUUAUGUUACAUCUGGUUCUAAUUUUUUGAAUAAUAUUUUACUUGGCUAUACAUCACAUUUUCCUGAUUCUUUGUAGGUCUGUUAAUUUUUGUUUGGUUGAUGAAUAUUGCAAAAAUUACCUUGUUGAGUGUCUACAUUUUAUUAUCUUCCUUUAAUGGAGAACUUGUUUUGGUAGGCAGUUAUUUUACUUGUGUAUUACCUUGGCCAUUUUAUGGCUUUUUAAAAAAAUUGUUAAGUAAGGUCUAGAGUGGUUUUAAGUCUAGGACUCUUAAUUCUGCUCCUACAGUGUGACAUCCACAGAUAAAGGUACUGCAGGGCCUGGUCAAUGUCAUGAGCAGUGGUUCCCACUAGAGUUCAGAGGGGCCAUCAGUUUGAUCUGAGAAGGUUAGAGAAGACUCUGCUGGACAGGGGGUACUGGAUCUGUCCCUGGAGAGGGGCUAGAAUUCAAAUAGACUGAAAAGACAGUAGAGUUUUUUUUCUAGGCAGGGAAGGUUCCAGAAGCAUAGAUGUAGAAAUGGCAAUGCUCAAGGCAGGACUGUUCCUGUGAGAGUGAACUGUCCAGCUGGGUUUGGCUGGGUGAAGUGGAAAUAUAGCAAAAAGGCAGCAAUGAGGGCCAAUUCUGUCACUUGUUGAUGACAAAAAAAAAAUGGGGCAGGACCAGUUUGGGGAAGUUUCAUGCCACUUCGAGAUAUGCCUGGAUCCACCUGGUGGCUCCACAAGGCUUUACUGGGUAAACUUGAGCAAUUCAGAGACACUCAGCCUAUUAUCUGAACUAGAGUCACGUUCAAGAGCUAAUGGGAAACACAUAAUGAAACUUCCUCUGGCUUUUCUCAUACACUCAGAGCAUAGCAAGGUAGAACAAAGACUCAGUCACUCAUUCAUUUAUUCAACCAAUCAACCACACAUAUUCACUAUCUAUCAUGUGCCAGACACAUCUCUAAGAACUGGAGACAUAGAUAUGAACAAGAUUUUAAAAAUCCCUGUCUUCAUAUAUCUUACAUUCUAGUGGGAGUAACAGAAACAAACUGAUCUGAAAUAGGUCAGGUAGUGACAGUGUAUGAAAAAAAUAAAGCAG
rnacentral:lncRNA from 1 species